AGUGAACGCUGGCGGUAGGCCUAACACAUGCAAGUCGAACGGCAGCACAGUAAGAGCUUGCUCUUACGGGUGGCGAGUGGCGGACGGGUGAGGAAUACAUCGGAAUCUACUUUUUCGUGGGGGAUAACGUAGGGAAACUUACGCUAAUACCGCAUACGACCUACGGGUGAAAGCAGGGGAUCUUCGGACCUUGCGCGAUUGAAUGAGCCGAUGUCGGAUUAGCUAGUUGGCGGGGUAAAGGCCCACCAAGGCGACGAUCCGUAGCUGGUCUGAGAGGAUGAUCGGCCACACUGGAACUGAGACACGGUCCAGACUCCUACGGGAGGCAGCAGUGGGGAAUAUUGGACAAUGGGCGCAAGCCUGAUCCAGCAAUACCGCGUGGGUGAAGAAGGCCUUCGGGUUGUAAAGCCCUUUUGUUGGGAAAGAAAAGAAGCAGGUUAAUACCCCGCUGUUCUGACGGUACCCAAAGAAUAAGCACCGGCUAACUUCGUG
rnacentral:rRNA from 1 species